rnacentral:rRNA from 1 species
GGUUAAGCGACUAAGCGUACACGGUGGAUGCCCUGGCAGUCAGAGGCGAUGAAGGACGUGCUAAUCUGCGAUAAGCGUCGGUAAGGUGAUAUGAACCGUUAUAACCGGCGAUUUCCGAAUGGGGAAACCCAGUGUGAUUCGUCACACUAUCAUUAACUGAAUCCAUAGGUUAAUGAGGCGAACCGGGGGAACUGAAACAUCUAAGUACCCCGAGGAAAAGAAAUCAACCGAGAUUCCCCCAGUAGCGGCGAGCGAACGGGGAGCAGCCCAGAGCCUGAAUCAGUGUGUGUGUUAGUGGAAGCGUCUGGAAAGGCGCGCGAUACAGGGUGACAGCCCCGUACACAAAAAUGCACAUGCUGUGAGCUCGAUGAGUAGGGCGGGACACGUGGUAUCCUGUCUGAAUAUGGGGGGACCAUCCUCCAAGGCUAAAUACUCCUGACUGACCGAUAGUGAACCAGUACCGUGAGGGAAAGGCGAAAAGAACCCCGGCGAGGGGAGUGAAAAAGAACCUGAAACCGUGUACGUACAAGCAGUGGGAGCCUCUUUUAUGGGGUGACUGCGUACCUUUUGUAUAAUGGGUCAGCGACUUAUAUUCUGUAGCAAGGUUAACCGAAUAGGGGAGCCGAAGGGAAACCGAGUCUUAACUGGGCGUUAAGUUGCAGGGUAUAGACCCGAAACCCGGUGAUCUAGCCAUGGGCAGGUUGAAGGUUGGGUAACACUAACUGGAGGACCGAACCGACUAAUGUUGAAAAAUUAGCGGAUGACUUGUGGCUGGGGGUGAAAGGCCAAUCAAACCGGGAGAUAGCUGGUUCUCCCCGAAAGCUAUUUAGGUAGCGCCUCGUGAAUUCAUCUCCGGGGGUAGAGCACUGUUUCGGCAAGGGGGUCAUCCCGACUUACCAACCCGAUGCAAACUGCGAAUACCGGAGAAUGUUAUCACGGGAGACACACGGCGGGUGCUAACGUCCGUCGUGAAGAGGGAAACAACCCAGACCGCCAGCUAAGGUCCCAAAGUCAUGGUUAAGUGGGAAACGAUGUGGGAAGGCCCAGACAGCCAGGAUGUUGGCUUAGAAGCAGCCAUCAUUUAAAGAAAGCGUAAUAGCUCACUGGUCGAGUCGGCCUGCGCGGAAGAUGUAACGGGGCUAAACCAUGCACCGAAGCUGCGGCAGCGACACUGUGUGUUGUUGGGUAGGGGAGCGUUCUGUAAGCCUGUGAAGGUGUACUGUGAGGUAUGCUGGAGGUAUCAGAAGUGCGAAUGCUGACAUAAGUAACGAUAAAGCGGGUGAAAAGCCCGCUCGCCGGAAGACCAAGGGUUCCUGUCCAACGUUAAUCGGGGCAGGGUGAGUCGACCCCUAAGGCGAGGCCGAAAGGCGUAGUCGAUGGGAAACAGGUUAAUAUUCCUGUACUUGGUGUUACUGCGAAGGGGGGACGGAGAAGGCUAUGUUGGCCGGGCGACGGUUGUCCCGGUUUAAGCGUGUAGGCUGGUUUUCCAGGCAAAUCCGGAAAAUCAAGGCUGAGGCGUGAUGACGAGGCACUACGGUGCUGAAGCAACAAAUGCCCUGCUUCCAGGAAAAGCCUCUAAGCAUCAGGUAACAUCAAAUCGUACCCCAAACCGACACAGGUGGUCAGGUAGAGAAUACCAAGGCGCUUGAGAGAACUCGGGUGAAGGAACUAGGCAAAAUGGUGCCGUAACUUCGGGAGAAGGCACGCUGAUAUGUAGGUGAAGUCCCUCGCGGAUGGAGCUGAAAUCAGUCGAAGAUACCAGCUGGCUGCAACUGUUUAUUAAAAACACAGCACUGUGCAAACACGAAAGUGGACGUAUACGGUGUGACGCCUGCCCGGUGCCGGAAGGUUAAUUGAUGGGGUCAGCGCAAGCGAAGCUCUUGAUCGAAGCCCCGGUAAACGGCGGCCGUAACUAUAACGGUCCUAAGGUAGCGAAAUUCCUUGUCGGGUAAGUUCCGACCUGCACGAAUGGCGUAAUGAUGGCCAGGCUGUCUCCACCCGAGACUCAGUGAAAUUGAACUCGCUGUGAAGAUGCAGUGUACCCGCGGCAAGACGGAAAGACCCCGUGAACCUUUACUAUAGCUUGACACUGAACAUUGAGCCUUGAUGUGUAGGAUAGGUGGGAGGCUUAGAAGUGUGGACGCCAGUCUGCAUGGAGCCGACCUUGAAAUACCACCCUUUAAUGUUUGAUGUUCUAACGUGGACCCGUGAUCCGGGUUGCGGACAGUGUCUGGUGGGUAGUUUGACUGGGGCGGUCUCCUCCUAAAGAGUAACGGAGGAGCACGAAGGUUGGCUAAUCCUGGUCGGACAUCAGGAGGUUAGUGCAAUGGCAUAAGCCAGCUUGACUGCGAGCGUGACGGCGCGAGCAGGUGCGAAAGCAGGUCAUAGUGAUCCGGUGGUUCUGAAUGGAAGGGCCAUCGCUCAACGGAUAAAAGGUACUCCGGGGAUAACAGGCUGAUACCGCCCAAGAGUUCAUAUCGACGGCGGUGUUUGGCACCUCGAUGUCGGCUCAUCACAUCCUGGGGCUGAAGUAGGUCCCAAGGGUAUGGCUGUUCGCCAUUUAAAGUGGUACGCGAGCUGGGUUUAGAACGUCGUGAGACAGUUCGGUCCCUAUCUGCCGUGGGCGCUGGAGAACUGAGGGGGGCUGCUCCUAGUACGAGAGGACCGGAGUGGACGCAUCACUGGUGUUCGGGUUGUCAUGCCAAUGGCACUGCCCGGUAGCUAAAUGCGGAAGAGAUAAGUGCUGAAAGCAUCUAAGCACGAAACUUGCCCCGAGAUGAGUUCUCCCUGACCCUUUAAGGGUCCUGAAGGAACGUUGAAGACGACGACGUUGAUAGGCCGGGUGUGUAAGCGCAGCGAUGCGUUGAGCUAACCGGUACUAAUGAACCGUGAGGCUUAACCUU